AGAGUUGGGGGUGGGGGACACCUCUGGUCAUUUGAGUCCAGCGAGAGAAGACAAGAAGAGAGUAAAAGAAGGAGCAGACAUGAGAAGGAAGGAAUAGUGUGUGUGUGUGUGCGUGUGUGUGUGUGUGUGUGUGUGUGCGUGUGUGUGUGUGUGAGAGGCAGCCUUCUGAUGAGUGCGGGAUCUCUGCCGACUCCCACCACCAUUACAGCGGCGCAGAACACAGCCCGGGGGUUUUGGAAUCAAACCCAUUACAUCUGAUACUGGAUUUCUCUCCCGCUCAGAAGUAAUGCAAUGUGGACUCGCCUUCCUCUUAAGCUGGCCAGUGUCGCAUAGCAUCGCUGCGCAAAGAGCUGCACCACAAGGAAAAAAAAGAGGACAGGGGAGGAGGAGGAGGAGGAGGAGGAGGAAGAGAGUGAAGGCCUGAGAGUCGGAGAGAGGAGAAGCUGCAGCCGGAGGGGUCAUAUCAUAUCUCCGUUUUCUUGUUUUGGUACAUUAAAACAAGAGCUGGCUGUCUCCUAAUAACUCACAGAAUCUAUGGGACUGUGUGCAUAUGAAGAGGCCUGCUGUGUGUAUGUUUAUACAGGAGGGGGGGGCUUGUAGUCCAUUUGCAUAAUUAACAGACUGGCAUUUGAAAAAGCAGAAUGUCAGCACAAACAACCUUGGACACCAAACUACCCCGGGUCAUUUUUUCCAGCCUUGUAAUUGGCUCCUAAUGCAGAGGAGUUAACCAUCGAGAUUUUCUGCCCUAAAAGCAAAAAAAGAAAAAAACAAAAAUCCCCUCUUGUUAAUGGGCUCAGCAACAACCUACUCCUGCUGCCGGCGUUUAUCAGCCAGUUUCCACUUUGGGAAGUUAGGAUGAUUAUGAAUGUCCAAAAAUAUCUCCUUCCACCUUUAAAUCCAUCAAACAUCUUCAUGAGUCUGCAGACGAACUCUUCCUUCAGUUUUCAGUCGUUAGUUGAAGAUAAGCGUUCAGGAAGUCUCUCUGUUGGGGCCUUCCUUUUCCCCGGGAUACGGUAAAGGUAACCCGUCUCUGCCUCUCUGACACGUCUGAUGUAAUGUUUGUGUAAGCCACCGUACUCUCUGUAGCUGCUGCGUCGCCACCUCUGCAGAUCAUGUCUGCGCCGCGUUCUCAACAGAUCUCACUCGGCGACUACGUGCAAUCUGAGGGAAACGGGCGAGCGCAUGGAAGGAAACUUUAUGUAGGGCAGCCCUACAGCUAAUGUACAGAGAGAGUUUCUGUAGUUUGUGCAGAAGAAGAGGAUUUUAUUUUGAUCCAUGGGAUCACAUAACGAGAGGGAAAUGAGUGUGAGGUUUAUAAUUUAUAAUUUAAUGUUGGACAGUAUAUUCCAAAUCCAUCCAUACAUGGCCUUCGAUGUCAAUAUAUAGGCAGGAUCUGAGUUAGUUCCGGUUUUUAGGAGAAAUCUUAAAUGUAAACUCUACCCCUCCCAACCAGUUUUCCCCUCAGCUCCUCCUCUCCCCUCAAGCCCCACCCACAAACAGACGCUCCUGCUCGCUCGUAUCGUUCCAAUCAAAUUCAGAUAUAAUGCAGAUAAAUACUUCAGAUCAUUACAAAUGGGGCCCAGUCAAGGUGAAAGUCAAAAGCAUUGGUGCUACUGUAGAUGCCAACAGACUACCAGCAAACACAAUGUUUGCAGGACUUCUACAACGAGGAUAAAGUGACAUAGUCCAGGACCCGAGGGAGGACAGUUUAGCGAUGGCGCUACAACACGCUACAGCAGGUCCGUUUGACAAGAAACACUUCUGUUACAGACACUUGUCUUACUUUGUUAAAGCGGUUUACCUGUCCAGCAGAAAGGUUACAGGGUCACCAAGAUCCCCAAGCGUCCCCCAUGGUUUAUGUUGACCCGGCUUUUUAGCUCUUGUCCGGUCUACCUCCGUUUUAAGCGCCCGUUAUCCCUCCAGAGUCUCCGGUAUUUACUUUGUUUUCUUGCUUGUGUCGGCAGUCGUGGCCAAAGGAGGAUUCAGACAAUUUUCCGAACUUUCUGGUUGGUUUCUACUGUCCGAUAUUGUAGCACGCUAACUUUGUUUGGGCUCCUGAACGACACGGGGGAGCAGCGUCUGCCUCACAACCAAUCAGGUUAGAGGAGGUGGAGAACGGCUUUGUUUACAGUCAGAAAGAGCGGACCGCUCAAAGAUGUUCAAAUGUUGACUACACAGACAUAAGAGAACACAUCUUGUUUUGUUUAUAAACCACAAAAAAAAAUGCUUCUUUAACGAAAUCCUGCCUACCCCACCUUUAAACUAUGAAACGUAUAAUUCUGGCAGCAAAACCCUUUUUUUUUUAUUGAUAAAGUUUGGCUUCAUGUUGCACCAGGAUUCAGUGUUGAAGAGCCAUUCAAGGACAACAUCUCAUCCAUACUACACUGCGUCCUCGUGGGACGAUGUUUACGCCUUCAGAUGCACAGAAACCUUCCAGAAACUUGAGGCUGUCUCUUGUCAUCAAAUCUGACGUGUAAGUGGAGAAGCGUGAGCUGCAUUGAAACAGAAAAACCCCCCUCUGGUACCUGGACUUCCAAGCUGUUCCUGGGGAAGAAUUGAAUUUUGGGAUUUGCCCGACACCACGUCUAGCCUUUCGGGAUGUAAUCUCACGUCCACACACCUAUUAACCUCGACCAGCAGAGAAGUUGGAAUGACUUUCAGGCUCCAGUGAGUCCUGUGCAGGAUAAUGACUGUGGUGAGUUCAGGUAAUGUGGUUAGCGAGCUGUUGGGGCCAAGCUGUCAGCUCUGUGGCUGAGCUAGAAGAGGGGAAAAGAGGAGAGAGAGAGAGAGAGAGAGAGAGAGAGAGAGAGAGAGAGAGAGAGAGAGAGAGAGAGAGAGAGAGAGGGUGAAGUUGGGCCUGACGGGGCCUGAGAGCAAAGUCAGCAGCAGCCUGGGAUCAGUGGUAAAGCCAGACUGAAGCAGAUGUCCUCCUGCAGGUGAACACAACACAAGGAGGCGCACAAGGAUACGAGUAUUUACAUACAAGUCAGAGACUGUAGAUGAUUGAAGAUGAAGAUGAAGUCCAUGCAUGUGCUUGAACACUGAAAUCUUCUAGAAUCAGCAUCUCCUCAUCCAUGAUGUCAUCGGGGUGAAAUGGCGUCUAAAAACCUUUCACUUGUUCGUCUCCGCCCGUUUGCGUGUGUGUUUUAUUUUGAAAAGAGGCCGGAUGUUUUAUUUUGUGUCUGUGCCCGACUUCCUUUCCAGCACGGGUUAAUCUGCGCUAAAUUUAUCCGGCAUGCUCCAGAAAAAAUAGAACUCUUGAUCAGCUGAGGAGUCCGACGAUCCGCAGAGGAACGGAAAGAAGUCGGUGGAAAUUGACACGUUAACUUGAAUGGUUACGAUCAGCUGUGAUCGGCGGAUACGACCUUUUCGUAGCCGGAUGAAGGUGGAAAUUGGAGGGAACUCUUCCUCCUCAUGACUCCUCCCUCUCUCUUCCCUUUUCCUCUCUUUUCCUCCCCCCCGUCAGCGAAGGUGUGAGACGGGGGAAGGGGCAGAGCUACAUGACUUAUUACUCAUCCCUGCUUUUAGUGGACCUCAGAGCCGCAUGGAUGCCUGCUGGCGGUGUCGUGGAGCUGUGAACCCACGCUCUCCUCGCUCUGCCUGUUAGCUUGUCAAUCAGCCAGCCAGCCUGUCAGUCUCUGAUUCAGCCCCCUCAUCUCCUCCUCCCUGGCCUAGGUGCCUCCACCACCAAUCCUCUGCUCUCAAUCGCAGGAGGAGCCUCAGGGUCCGUUCCUCACCCGGCUCCUCGCUUCCUGUCCCCACGCGGACCCUCAGCCGUCACCCUUCCUCCCUCUCCACUCACGGUCUCCCAUAUCACCGCAGGAGGCCUGACUCACACCCGGGCCAGUCGAAAAAAUAAGCUAGCCAUGCAGAAGAAAAGGGAAGGCACGCAACCAAUAGAAACACGUCAGUCAAAGUACAGCGAGGAAAAAAAGGAAAACCAGACGAAGAAGAAUUUUACAUCAGGAUCAGACUGAUAUACUGAGAACAAGGUUUCACAAAUGUCAUCUUUAUAUCACUGAGUCUUAAAAAUCUUAAUCCAGAUGUUCGCUCAGAUCCAGACAACCAAGAAGACACUGAUACUGUUAGAAACACACUUCUGAUGAGUUCAGGUCAGUGAUUUGAAGAUAAAGCUGUUUCCAUUUGACGAUGAAGAAGGAGCAGCAGGAAUAAUUAGCAGCUCCGCUUCAUCCCUCGCUGUCUAAACCCUGAACCCCUCUCUCUCUCUCUCUCUCUCUCUCUCUCUCUCUCUGUCUGACUCCGUUUGCGUUGGUGUGUCGUCACAGGGCCGAGGGAUUUAAGCUAAGCCACAUCAGCAGCUGAAAAGGACUCCUCUGAGGAGAAACACACACAAAUACCGGCCUGGAUGUGGCGAAUACAUACCGCUGUAAUGUGUUUGCGUCUGCAGGAGUCAGAGAUCAAAAAUGGAUCCAGCUGCAGGAGCAAAGAGCUUUGCAUUAGCUAGAGUGCUCCACAAGGACCACAGGGACGCACAUGUUGUAGCUCGACCAUGAACAGACAUGUCAGACUCUGAACAAGUACGUACUCAAGUCCAUCUUCAGCUACAUGGGAGACUAGAGGGAUGUUUGUGGGUUUGAACCUGAAUCUGAAAAAGUCCACUCAGUCAUGAAGACGAACCCCGGGGACGGGUCACAGCGCUCCCUUCUGAUCCCGUCUCUUCACACAGAUCCAUCAAACACUGUGACACACACUUUCACACUCAAUCUGCAUAACUCGGACAGAUGCGCAAACACAUGUGGACAAACAUGCAGGAGUGCAAACACAGACACAGUCUGACAGAAACAAACAGCGUCAGAAAAACACAGGCCUUUUCUCUGAGUGUGUUAGGUCGAUCAGACGCUACGGGUCCUUAAAUUUAGACGUAAAGGUGGAGUAGACAGGAAUCUGUUAAAGAAGCAUCUUUUUUUGUGGUGUAUUUACAAAAAAUCUUUUAUCAGUCAAUAGUUAUUAGUUAUUGAUGACAUUUGGUAAUAUAUCGAUAUCUCUGUGUUCUCUUAUGUCUGUGUCGUCAACAUUUGAACAUUUUUGAGCGGUCCGCUCUUUCUGACUGUAAACAAAGCCGUUCUCCACCUCCUCUAACCUGAUUGGUUGUGAGGCAGACGCUGCUCCCCCGUGUCGUUCAGGAGCCCAAAC
rnacentral:lncRNA from 1 species